UACGGGGGGGGCAAGCGUUGUUCGGAAUUACUGGGCGUAAAGGGUGCGUAGGCGGUUCGUUAAGUUAGAUGUGAAAACUCUGGGCUCAACCCAGAGCCUGCAUCUAAAACUGGCGGGCUAGAGUUCUGGAGGGGGUAGCGGAAUUCCUGGUGUAGCGGUGAAAUGCGUAGAUAUCAGGAGGAACACCGGUGGCGAAGGCGGCUACCUGGACAGAAACUGACGCUGAGGCACGAAAGCUAGGGGAGCAAACAGG
rnacentral:rRNA from 1 species